rnacentral:rRNA from 1 species
AGAGUUUGAUCCUGGCUCAGAUUGAACGCUGGCGGCAUGCCUUACACAUGCAAGUCGAACGGCAGCACGGGAGCAAUCCUGGUGGCGAGUGGCGAACGGGUGAGUAAUAUAUCGGAACGUGCCCAGUCGUGGGGGAUAACGUAGCGAAAGCUACGCUAAUACCGCAUACGAUCUAUGGAUGAAAGCGGGGGAUCGCAAGACCUCGCGCGAUUGGAGCGGCCGAUAUCAGAUUAGCUAGUUGGUGGGGUAAAAGCCCACCAAGGCGACGAUCUGUAGCUGGUCUGAGAGGACGACCAGCCACACUGGAACUGAGACACGGUCCAGACUCCUACGGGAGGCAGCAGUGGGGAAUUUUGGACAAUGGGCGCAAGCCUGAUCCAGCAAUGCCGCGUGCAGGACGAAGGCCUUCGGGUUGUAAACUGCUUUUGUACGGAACGAAAAGGUCUGCCCUAAUACGGUGGGCCCAUGACGGUACCGUAAGAAUAAGCACCGGCUAACUACGUGCCAGCAGCCGCGGUAAUACGUAGGGUGCAAGCGUUAAUCGGAAUUACUGGGCGUAAAGCGUGCGCAGGCGGUUUUGUAAGACAGAUGUGAAAUCCCCGGGCUCAACCUGGGACCUGCAUUUGUGACUGCAAAGCUAGAGUACGGCAGAGGGGGAUGGAAUUCCGCGUGUAGCAGUGAAAUGCGUAGAUAUGCGGAGGAACACCGAUGGCGAAGGCAAUCCCCUGGGCCUGUACUGACGCUCAUGCACGAAAGCGUGGGGAGCAAACAGGAUUAGAUACCCUGGUAGUCCACGCCCU